rnacentral:rRNA from 1 species
CGUUUGAAAACAGAAGGGGCGAAAGGCAGCCUUCUGGCAUUAAUACUGACACUGAGGCUCGAAAGCGUGGGUAGCAAAUAGCGAAUUAAAAUACCCUGGUAGUCCACGCCGUAAACGAUGUCUACUAGUCGUUGGGUCCCUUGAGGACUUAGUGACGCAGCUAACGCAAUAAGUAGACCGCCUGGGGAGUACGGCCGCAAGGUUAAAACUCAAAUGAAUUGACGGGGGCCCGCACAAGCGGUGGAGCAUGUGGUUUAAUUCGAUGCAACGCGAAGAACCUUACCUGGUCUUGACAUAUCUAGAAUCCUGCAGAGAUGCGGGAGUGCCUUCGGGAAUUAGAAUACAGGUGCUGCAUGGCUGUCGUCAGCUCGUGUCGUGAGAUGUUGGGUUAAGUCCCGCAACGAGCGCAACCCUUGUCCUUAGUUACCAGCGGGUUAAGCCGGGAACUCUAAGGAUACUGCCAGUGACAAACUGGAGGAAGGCGGGGACGACGUCAAGUCAUCAUGGCCCUUACGACCAGGGCUACACACGUGCUACAAUGGUAGGUACAGAGGGCAGCUACACAGCGAUGUGAUGCGAAUCUCAAAAAGCCUAUCGUAGUCCAGAUUUGGAGUCUUGCAACUCGACUCCCAUGAAGUAGGAAUCGCUAGUAAUCCGCGGAUCAGAAAUGCCGCGGUGAAUACGUUUCCCGGGCCUUGUACACACCCGCCCGUCACACCAUGGGGAGUUUGAUUGCACCAAAAGUGGAUAAGCUUUAACCCUUUCG